rnacentral:pre_miRNA from 1 species
AGCCUUCUGUAUCCGUGCUGGUAUUUCGUCGCACACCAGACCACAAGGGCUGGUGACUUCCAAGAUAAGUGAAGCG